GUCUACGGCCAUACCACCCUGAACGCGCCUGAUCUCGUCUGAUCUCGGAAGCUAAGCAGGGUCGGGCCUGGUUAGUACUUGGAUGGGAGAAAUAGUGACUCUAUUUG
rnacentral:rRNA from 1 species